AGCAGCGUAGCUCAGUUGGAAGAGCGCUGGGCUCAUAACUCAGAGGUCCCUUGAUCGAAACUUGGCGCUGCUA
rfam:Rozella allomycis CSF55 unplaced genomic scaffold scaffold_551, whole genome shotgun sequence.